rnacentral:rRNA from 1 species
GACGUAGGGCGCGAGCGUUGUCCGGAUUUAUUGGGCGUAAAGAGCUCGUAGGCGGCUCGUCGCGUCGACCGUGAAAACUUGGGGCUUAACCCUAAGCUUGCGGUUGAUACGGGCGGGCUAGAGUUCGGUAGGGGAGACUGGAAUUCCUGGUGUAGCGGUGAAAUGCGCAGAUAUCAGGAGGAACACCGGUGGCGAAGGCGGGUCUCUGGGCCGAUACUGACGCUGAGGAGCGAAAGCGUGGGGAGCGAACAGG